rnacentral:rRNA from 1 species
UACAGAGGUCCCAAGCGUUGUUCGGAUUCACUGGGCGUAAAGGGUGCGUAGGUGGCUUGGAAAGUUUGAUGUGAAAGCUCAGGGCUCAACCCUGAAAUGGCAUUGAAUACUAUCGAGCUGGAGGUUUGGAGGGGGGACUGGAAUUCUUGGUGUAGCAGUGAAAUGCGUAGAUAUCAAGGGGAACACCAGUGGCGAAGGCGAGUCCCUGGACAACACCUGACACUGAGGCACGAAAGCCGGGGGAGCAAACAGG